rnacentral:rRNA from 1 species
AACGAACGCUGGCGGCAGGCUUAACACAUGCAAGUCGAGCGCCCCGCAAGGGGAGCGGCAGACGGGUGAGUAACGCGUGGGAACGUGCCCUUUGGUUCGGAACAACUCCGGGAAACUGGAGCUAAUACCGGAUAAGCCCUUCGGGGGAAAGAUUUAUCGCCAAAGGAUCGGCCCGCGUCUGAUUAGCUAGUUGGUGGGGUAAUGGCCCACCAAGGCGACGAUCAGUAGCUGGUCUGAGAGGAUGAUCAGCCACACUGGAACUGAGACACGGCCCAGACUCCUACGGGAGGCAGCAGUGGGGAAUAUUGGACAAUGGGCGCAAGCCUGAUCCAGCCAUGCCGCGUGAGUGAUGAAGGCCUUAGGGUUGUAAAGCUCUUUUGUCCGGGAAGAUAAUGACUGUACCGGAAGAAUAAGCCCCGGCUAACUUCGUGCCAGCCGCCGCCGUAACAC